rnacentral:lncRNA from 1 species
AAAAGUUAUGCUUAAAUUACUGUAAUAGAAGAAGUUAUUACAAAUAUAGGGUAGUUUUUGCCACAUAGGAGAGAGGAGAGAGGAAAGAGGAGAGAGGAGAGAGGAGAGAGGGUGAGAGAAGAGAGGAAAGAGGAGAGAGGGUGAGAGAGAGGAGAUAGGAGAGAGGAGAGAGGGUGAGUAAAAAAAAAGCAAACUCGUCUCUUGAAGAGACGAGUUCCAUGAAAGAAGAGAGGAAAGAGGAGAGAGGAGAGAGGAGAGAGGG